GGGGUUCUCAACCCAGUCCUCAGGACCCCCUACCAGUCCAGGAUUUGGGGAUUACCUGGGUGUGUCUAAGGUGUUUAGAAAAAAGGGAAAAAAACACCUUAGACUCUAAGGUGUUUUUUUUUCCUUUUUCUAAACACCUUAGACACACCCAGGUAAUCCCUAAACCCUGGACUGGUAGGGGGUCCUUGAGGACAAGGUUGAGAACCCCU